GCUUCGGUAGCUCAGUUGGUUUAGAGCGAUUGGACCGGUGUUCCAAAAGGUCGCAAGUACGAAUCUUGCUCGAAGCG